GAAUGUGGCUGGUUGAUCACUUGCUCAUCUCCAAACUUCUUUUCAAACAAUUAGGCCCAAUUAAGACUGAGCUAAGGUCUGAUGGAAACAAAUGCAGUAAAUUGUAGAGGGAAGGGAGAGGCACACCUCAGGGACUGAGCUCCUGCAGAGGGCGCUUCUCUUUGACAGGUGACAACACUGACAUGGAGCCCAGUGGUAGUUAAUGACAAGAGACCCACAAACCCAGAAGGUACAAAUACAACCUGGAGAGCUGCGUCUUGUUCAAAGGGCCAACACCGAGGUUGACUGCAGUCUGCACCAAGAUGAAACUGUGGGUCUACAGAGAGAGCACAAAAGCACUGGUCACAUAUCCAACUGAUAGGAGAAGGACGGAAAAUAAGCUCAUUAAUGGGAGAAACCAUCAAAAGCUUUCAAAGUGUAUAAUGGCUGCCAUGAGAAUACACUCAACUUGAUGCA